rnacentral:tRNA from 1 species
GGAUGAAUGGCUGAGCGGUUUAAAGCAUCAAUUUUGAAAAUUGACGUAAGAAUUAAUCUUAUCGUAGGUUCAAAUCCUACUUCAUCCG